rnacentral:rRNA from 1 species
UACGAAGGGAGCUAGCGUUGUUCGGAAUCACUGGGAGUAAAGGGCUCGUAGGUGGCCAACUAAGUCAGACGUGAAAUCCCUCAGCUUAACUGGGGAACUGCGUCUGAUACUGGAUGGCUUGAGUUUGGGAGAGGGAUGCGGAAUUCCAGGUGUAGCGGUGAAAUGCGUAGAUAUCUGGAGGAACACCGGUGGCGAAGGCGGCAUCCUGGACCAACACUGACACUGAGGAGCGAAAGCCAGGGGAGCAAACGGG